UUUGGAGUCCGUAAUUUACACUUUACUUGUACACUCGCCUUCUCCGGCCUUGUAUUUGUCUUCUCUCUCAAGCCAUUUCUCUCUGCAGUUGUACCGGAAAGAUACUCCGACCGGAGCGUGUCGCUAAAUCACUGCGUAAGUGAUUUUUUAGUUGUGUUCCUCGUUGCGAGCUCACAUUUGAUUUGGUACUUUCCUUGUAUAGCUUGCCGUUAAAUCUGAGCGAUUCUAUCUAUUUUCUAUUCAUAGAUUGUGUUCCUCUAUGCGUAGGUCUAUCUGUGUGCAGUAUUAAAGUAACAGUGUACUUAGGCUUCUGUAUGUGAACGUUACACAGGCAUGAAAUGCUAGAAAAACUAUUCUCUCGCGAUCUUUUCAAGAAAACAUAAUGGAAAUACUCGUAUUGCGAUUUUUUUUUUUAAUUUACACAAUGUUUUUCUUUGAUUUUUAAUGGGAUUUAACUUUGUUUUGAAGUGGUUAAAUUUGUUUUUG
rnacentral:lncRNA from 1 species